GCGCACUGUGUACAAACAGAGGCGGCGUGCGUAGAAGAAGUGGGGCAAGUUUGGGAACUGUGCAAGAACAUAAAGGCAAAGACAGACCCUUGAAGCAUCACUAAGAAUGAUUGCUUACUGUACAUGGAUCCAAUUCCAGCAGUUACAGAGAGGGAGGUAGGGAGAGAGACAGAAACACAGAGCUAGAGAAAUUGACAGAGAAACAUUCUCGAAGGCAAAGAGUUGAAAGGUGAAUCUACUAAGAAAAGAAUAACAGAGUGCAAUUAGCCAUGGAACUACAUCUCCAUCUGCCUCCUUUAAAGGAUGAGUCCUUUAAAGAGCCUUUGGGAGGAAUUGCGCCGUGAGAAGAGCCCUCAUGAAUGGGAUUAGUUCCCUUAUAAGAAGAGACACCAAGGAAAUGAUCUUUCUCUGCCCUCUGCUAUGUGAAGACAAGGUAAGAAGACAGCUAUGAACCAAGAAGCAGGCCCUUACCAGACACCAAAUCUGCUGGUGCAUUGAUCUUGGACUUCUCAGCCUCCAGGACUGUGAGAAAUAAAUGUUUAUUGUUGAAGCCA
rnacentral:antisense_RNA from 1 species